GUCGAGCGGAACUUAAGGAGCUUGCUCCUUAAGUUUAGCGGCGGACGGGUGAGUAACACGUGGGCAACCUGCCCUACAGAUGGGGAUAACUCCGGGAAACCGGGGCUAAUACCGAAUAAUCAGUUUGUCCGCAUGGACAAACUCUGAAAGACGGUUUCGGCUGUCACUGUAGGAUGGGCCCGCGGCGCAUUAGCUAGUUGGUGGGGUAAUGGCCUACCAAGGCGACGAUGCGUAGCCGACCUGAGAGGGUGAUCGGCCACACUGGGACUGAGACACGGCCCAGACUCCUACGGGAGGCAGCAGUAGGGAAUCUUCCACAAUGGACGAAAGUCUGAUGGAGCAACGCCGCGUGAGCGAAGAAGGUUUUCGGAUCGUAAAGCUCUGUUGUGAGGGAAGAACAAGUACGAGAGUAACUGCUCGUACCUUGACGGUACCUCAUUAGAAAGCCACGGCUAACUACGUGCCAGCAGCCGCGGUAAUACGUAGGUGGCAAGCGUUGUCCGGAAUUAUUGGGCGUAAAGCGCGCGCAGGCGGUCCUUUAAGUCUGAUGUGAAAGCCCACGGCUCAACCGUGGAGGGUCAUUGGAAACUGGGGACUUGAGUACAGAAGAGGAAAGCGGAAUUCCACGUGUAGCGGUGAAAUGCGUAGAGAUGUGGAGGAACACCAGUGGCGAAGGCGGCUUUCUGGUCUGUAACUGACGCUGA
rnacentral:rRNA from 1 species